AGCGAACGCUGGCGGCAGGCCUAACACAUGCAAGUCGAACGAACUCUUCGGAGUUUGUGGCGGACGGGUGAGUAACCCGUGGGAACGUGCCCUUAGGUACGGAAUAACUCAGGGAAACUUAUGCUAAUACCGAAUGUGCCCUUAGGGGGAAAGAUUUAUUGCCUUUGGAGCGGCCCGCGUCUGAUUAGCUAGUUGGUUAGGUAAAGGCUCACCACGGCGACGAUCAGUAGCUGGUCUGAGAGGAUGAUCAGCCACAUUUGGACUGAGACACGGCCCAAACUCCUACGGGAGGCAGCAGUGGGGAAUCUUGCGCAAUGGGCGAAAGCCUGACGCAGCCAUGCCGCGUGAAUGAUGAAGUUCUUAGGAUUGUAAAAUUCUUUCACCGGGGACGAUAAUGACGGUACCCGGUGAAGAAGCCCCGGCUAACUUCGUG
rnacentral:rRNA from 1 species